UACGUAGGGUGCAAGCGUUGUCCGGAAUUAUUGGGCGUAAAGAGCUCGUAGGCGGUUUGUCGCGUCGAAUGUGAAAACCCGGGGCUCAACCCCGGGCCUGCAUCCAAAACUGGCAGGCUAGAGUUCUGGAGGGGGUAGCGGAAUUCCUGGUGUAGCGGUGAAAUGCGUAGAUAUCAGGAGGAACACCGGUGGCGAAGGCGGCUACCUGGACAGAAACUGACGCUGAGGCACGAAAGCUAGGGGAGCAAACAGG
rnacentral:rRNA from 1 species